AAGUCGUAACAAGGUUUCCGUAGGUGAACCUGCGGAAGGAUCAUUAACACGUAUCCAACGUUAAACAACCCUGUGAACUUUAAGUCCCCUCUUGCAGCCCCGGUAAAUCAUUGCCAAACAGUUUUGAUUCGGGACCUCUGUCCAAAAGGAGUUGCAAUCGAAGGGUGGAAGCAGUGGCAUGGCUUCCCCAAGCAGUUAGUGAAUGACAGUGUCACUGACUGUGUAAGGAUAACGCCUCACGGUUGCUAGAGGUCGAUCACCGACCGGCAGACAUGUCACAGGGUCACCACGCCCCUUAAUCACUCCACUUGAAAAUGCCCCGCCUAGUGGUAACGCGCUAGGUAAAAAAAACCGAACAACUGUUAACAAUGGAUAUCUUGGUUCUC
rnacentral:misc_RNA from 1 species